GAUGAAGAACGCAGCGAAAUGCGAUAAGUAAUGUGAAUUGCAGAAUUCAGUGAAUCAUCGAAUCUUUGAACGCACAUUGCGACCCUUGGUAUUCCGAGGGGCAUGCCUGUUCGAGCGUCAUUAUAACCCCUCAAGCUCAGCUUGGUGUUGGGGCCUGCUGCACUGGCAGCCCUUAAAAUCAGUGGCGGCGCCAUCUGGCUCUAAGCGUAGUAAUUCUUCUCGCUAUGGAGUCCUGGUGGAUGCUUGCCAUCAACCCCCAAUUUUUCUAUGGUUAACCUCGGAUCAGGUAGGGAUACCCGCUGAACUUAAGCAUAUCAAUAAGCGGAGGA
rnacentral:misc_RNA from 1 species